rnacentral:rRNA from 1 species
GACCCAGCGACGCCGCGUGCGGGAUGAAGNNNNNCGGGUUGUAAACCGCUUUCAGCAAGGAAGAAGCGAAAGUGACGGUACUUGCAGAAGAAGCACCGGCUAACUAUGUGCCAGCAGCCGCGGUAAUACAUAGGGUGCAAGCGUUGUCCGGAAUUAUUGGGCGUAAAGAGCUCGUAGGUGGUUCGUCACGUCGGAUGUGAAAAUCUGGGGCUUAACUCCAGACCUGCAUUCGAUACGGGCGAGCUAGAGUGUGGUAGGGGAGACUGGAAUUCCUGGUGUAGCGGUGGAAUGCGCAGAUAUCAGGAGGAACACCAAUGGCGAAGGCAGGUCUCUGGGCCAUUACUGACACUGAGGAGCGAAAGCGUGGGGAGCGAACAGGAUUAGAUACCCUGGUAGUCCACGCCGUAAACGGUGGGCACUAGUUGUGGGAACCUUCCACGGUUUCUGCGACGCAGCUAACGCAUUAAGUGCCCCGCCUGGGGAGUACGAUCGCAAGAUUAAAACUCAAAGGAAUUGACGGGGCCCCGCACAAGCAGCGGAGCAUGCGGCUUAAUUCGACGCAACGCGAAGAACCUUACCAAGGCUUGACAUAUACAGGAAUAUGGCAGAAAUGUCAUAGCCGCAAGGUCUGUAUACAGGUGGUGCAUGGUUGUCGUCAGCUCGUGUCGUGAGAUGUUGGGUUAAGUCCCGCAACGAGCGCAACCCUCGUUCUGUGUUGCCAGCAUUUAGUUGGGGACUCACAGGAGACUGCCGGGGUUAACUCGGAGGAAGGU